AUACGUAGGGUGCAAGCGUUAAUCGGAAUUACUGGGCGUAAAGCGUGCGCAGGCGGUUUUGUAAGACAGAGGUGAAAUCCCCGGGCUCAACCUGGGAACUGCCUUUGUGACUGCCAGGCUAGAGUACGGCAGAGGGGGAUGGAAUUCCGCGUGUAGCAGUGAAAUGCGUAGAUAUGCGGAGGAACACCGAUGGCGAAGGCAAUCCCCUGGGCCUGUACUGACGCUCAUGCACGAAAGCGUGGGGAGCAAACAGGAUUUGAUACCCUGGUAGUCCACGCCCUAAACGAUGUCAACUGGUUGUUGGGGAUUUAUUUUCUCAGUAACGAAGCUAACGCGUGAAGUUGACCGCGUGGGGAGUACGGCCGCAAGGUUAAAACUCAAAUGAGUUGACGGGG
rnacentral:rRNA from 1 species